AUGGCUCAGGACGAACGCUGGCGGCGUGCCUAAUACAUGCAAGUCGAACGGCUUUUCUAUGGAAGCUUGCUUCCACUGAGAAGAUAGUGGCGAACGGGUGAGUAACACGUGGGUAACCUGCCCAUAAGAGGGGGGAUAACAUCCGGAAACGGGUGCUAAUACCGCAUAGUUUUCUUGAUUGCAUGAUUGAGAAAGGAAAGACGGCCUUUGUGCUGUCGCUUAUGGAUGGACCCGCGGCGUAUUAGUUAGUUGGUGAGGUAACGGCUCACCAAGACGAUGAUACGUAGCCGACCUGAGAGGGUGAUCGGCCACAUUGGGACUGAGACACGGCCCAAACUCCUACGGGAGGCAGCAGUAGGGAAUCUUCCGCAAUGGACGAAAGUCUGACGGAGCAACGCCGCGUGAGUGAAGAAGGUUUUCGGAUCGUAAAACUCUGUUGUCAGAGAAGAACAAGUUGGAGAGUAACUGCUCCAGCCUUGACGGUAUCCGACCAGAAAGCCACGGCUAACUACGUGCCAGCCGCCGC
rnacentral:rRNA from 1 species